rnacentral:lncRNA from 1 species
GGAACACACUGGUAGAAGAGCACACAGGCAGCUGGAUGUCGAGAGGAGCGGAAGAGCACAGCGACAGGCACUGGUGUCGACCAGCGGAACGACGUGGAGUUUGGCCUGGGAGGUCAGAGAAGAAUUUGGCUGCUGGGCAGCCCCACUAUAGGGGAAAACCACCUUCCCACUCCAUUCCCCUUCUGAUCUCCCCAUCCACCUCGCUGAGAGCUACCACAACUCAAUAAAAAACCUAGCACUCGAUCUCCAAGCCCACAUGUGAUCCAAUUUUUCCCGUGCACUAAAGCAAGAACCUGGGAUACAGAAAGCCGUCUGUCCUUGUGAUAAGGCAGAGGGUCUAAUUGAGCUGAUUAACACAAGCCACCUGCGGACAGCUAAGCUGAAAAAGCAUCCUGUAACACACGCCCACUGGGGCCUCAGGAGGUGUAAACAUUCACCCCGAGAGGCUGCAUGGGUCCGCGCCCAUGGUCCCCAUGACUUGCCUGUUUGCCUGCUCUGGCUAAGGGUCUUGACCAGUGGGGCACUGAAGAAGCGAGCCACACCUCCAUCGUACGCCCUGCGAGGAGGGUCUCGUCAGAGUGCCUCUAAGAAGAAACAUGACAUAUUUGCU